GUGCGAUGAGCGCGUGAUGACGGGAUGUCAGCCGCUGCUCGUGGAAACUCGUCCAAAACCGGGAACGGCGUAAAGUCUGAUCCGGACAGAAUUCGGACGGUACGCAGAGAGCUGUCGACUGAGUACGCGCGCAAUGAAUGGGAUAAUAUGGAGUCUUCAUCUAGAGAUUAUAAAACCUCAAGAGGAAGCAUCAAAGGUACUCCAGGAGCUCCUGAUGAUAAUAUACCAACAGUGUUGGCUAUGCAGCUGGCUAUGGUGGAGGGGCCAGAUCGACUUCCUGCCGAUGAGGACACACAGGAAGUGCUUUGCAGGAAACUUUGUGUGCUGGAAGCUGACCUCUCAGGGGUCAUGACCUUAAUCUCUGUAUGGCCGUCCCUAUUCAGACUGCAUAAAAUAUUCGAAACCUUUCUGAAAUGUGUUUAAGAAAAUAUACACACAUUUAACAUACUGGUUUCCCUGUCUUGCAGGAACUGUCUGCUCAUUUUGUAUCCAUCAACAGUGAGGAAAGGACUAUAUUUAUCACCUUUGAUGGGGAUAGAUGGGGAUAGAGGAACCAAACCAAAACCAGCUCUGGAGCCAGUCAUUCCCUUUCAUGAGUAUGUGUCACCUUCUGAAUUUCAUAAGAACUUAUUGUCAU
rnacentral:lncRNA from 1 species